UGUCCUGGUCCGAAGCACACCUUGGAUAGCGUGAUGCCUAUAGCUUCACCUUCCUUCCACCGUCCCCUCCUUGUGAAAUCUGAUGUACAAAACUCCGCUUAGCAGCAGGAGGGGAAGGGUAUUUUUGUCCUGAUGUCAGACUCAUGAGAUCUGGUCUCGUGUUUGAAAAUGAAGGUUCAGCCAGUGCACAACCAGACAGACUGGAUACUGAGGGCUGGGAGGAAAUGUCUUCAAAAGGACAAGCAGAGAGUCCCAAAGAUAAAGGUGGCACAUUAAUAAAAUUUUCAGGAGAACUCCUGCUGCAAUUCUGAAUGCUACUUGUGUUUUCUAAGUAUCUUCUAGCAAGAUUUUCAAAGGUAGGUGUUUUUAAAAAUUUAAAA